rnacentral:lncRNA from 1 species
GAUGCGCCGAGGUCGUCGCAUCAUCAGGUGGGGGAGCAUGACACGUCCCGUGCCAAUUCCAUCCAAAAUCAGCGCCCAAACGUGUCUAACGCCCCAACACCAGCGCCAGCACGCACCAGCAUUCAAUGCACGACUUCUUUGUCACUGCACGCCUUGUCUGCCAGCUGUGUCAGAGCACGCCUGCACGCCAUAUCUGCCAACUGUGUUAGAGCACGCCUGCACGCCCUGUCUGCCACAAAACAGCCAGCAAAACGGCUAAAUGCCCUUCUUGUGUAUAGUAGGGACUUGUAUAAAUAGCUUUGCACUUAGACAUUGUUAGGCAUCCAGAAAAUACUUCCAUCUUUGUAAUCUAUAGCAUUUGUAAAGCAUUCUCAAAGGCAAUAAAAGCUCAAUUUCCCUCUUAACUUUCUUUGUUUGUUAUCCAGCAUUCCCUUAGUACGAUCUUAGGUAACAAAGGCUUACUAGACUGCCAAUUCCGCAGGCAGAUUCAUUCUAGCGCCGCACGACACUUAGCUUGAGUUCUAAGGCCGUGACAUCAGGCACACGUGCAAUCUGACCCAUUGGUUUCAAGUUGCUGUAAAAGGGAAGAUUUUAACUAAUGGAGAAGUUAUUAAGAAAACAAUUAACUAAUGGAUAUCGAAAGUACUUUGAAAGAGAAAAAAUUAAAAAUUAAUAAAGCACUCCUAUCUUACAUUUUAUGCCAUCUGCAUGACACGUCCCGCGCCAAUUCCGUCCAAAAUCCGUGCCCAAACGUGUCAAACGCCCCAACACCAGCGCCAGCACCAGCAUUCAAUGCACGCCAGCUUUGUUAGUGCACGCCUUGUCUUGCCAGCUGUGUCAGAGCACGCCUGCACGCCUUGUCUGCCAACUGUGUCAGAGCACGCAUGCACGCCCUGUCUGCCACAAAACAGCCAGCCAAACGGCUAAAUGCCCCUCUUGUGUAUAGUAGGGACUUGUAUAAAUAGCUUAGCACUUAGACAUUGUUAGGCAUCUAGAAAAUACUUCCAUCUUUGUAAUCUAUAUCAUUUGUAAAGCAUUCUCAAAGGCAAUAAAAGCUCAAUUUCCCUCUUAACUUUCUUUGUUUGCUAUCCACCGUUCCCUUAGUACGAUUUUAGGCAACAAAGGCUUACUAGACUGCCAAUUCCGCAGGCAGAUUCAUUCUAGCGCCGCACGACACUUAGCUUCAGUUCUAAGUCCGUGACAAAGUGGUAUCAGAGCAGGUACUAAGC